rnacentral:misc_RNA from 1 species
CCAAACUUGGUCAUUUAGAGGAAGUAAAAGUCGUAACAAGGUUUCCGUAGGUGAACCUGCGGAAGGAUCACUAGUGAUUAAACUGAGAUCGCACUAGGCUUAAAAACCCUAAGGCGUCUCAACCCUUCACAUCCACAUACACCUGUGCACUGUUAUGGUUGUAGAUCGUUAAUCGCGAGCCUUUUGGUAACGAAAGGUCAGCUUUUAAUGAACUCGCCAUCAUUUUUAUACAAUAACUCAAGUCUUAUGAAUGUAAACGUUUUAUAAUAAACUAAUAAAACUUUCAACAACGGAUCUCUUGGCUCUCGCAUCGAUGAAGAACGCAGC